rnacentral:tRNA from 1 species
GGGGAUAUGGUUUAGUGGUAUAAUGCUUCCUUAGCAGCGGUAAGUUGCCUUGACUGGAAGAGGUCCCGAGUUCGAUUCUUGGUGUCUCCA